UACGGGGGGGGCAAGCGUUGUUCGGAAUUACUGGGCGUAAAGGGCUCGUAGGUGGCCAACUAAGUCAGACGUGAAAUCCCUCGGCUUAACCGGGGAACUGCGUCUGAUACUGGAUGGCUUGAGUUUGGGAGAGGGACGCGGAAUUCCAGGUGUAGCGGUGAAAUGCGUAGAUAUCUUGAAGAACACCAGUGGCGAAGGCGGCUCACUGGACUGGUAUUGACGCUGAGGUGCGAAAGCGUGGGGAGCAAACAGG
rnacentral:rRNA from 1 species